rnacentral:rRNA from 1 species
GGGCCCGCACAAGCGGUGGAGCAUGUGGUUUAAUUCGAUGCAACGCGAAGAACCUUACCAGGACUUGACAUACUACAGAUUCUUUUGAGAGAAAGAAGUGCCUUCGGGAAUGUAGAUACAGGUGGUGCAUGGCUGUCGUCAGCUCGUGUCGUGAGAUGUUGGGUUAAGUCCCGCAACGAGCGCAACCCUUAUUUUUAGUUACCAACUUGUUGGGUUCUCUAGAAAGACUGCCGGUGACAAACCGGAGGAAGGUGAGGAUGACGUCAAGUCAGCAUGCCCCUUAUGUCCUGGGCUACACACGUGCUACAAUGGCUAAGACAAAGAGUCGCGAACUUGCAAAAGUCAGCUAAUCUCAUAAACUUAGCCUAAGUUCAGAUUGUAGGCUGCAACUCGCCUACAUGAAGUAGGAAUCGCUAGUAAUCG